rnacentral:rRNA from 1 species
UGGCGGCCGUAGCGCGGUGGUCCCACCUGACCCCAUGCCGAACUCAGAAGUGAAACGCCGUAGCGCCGAUGGUAGUGUGGGGUCUCCCAUGCGAGAGUAGGGAACUGCCAGGCA